rnacentral:rRNA from 1 species
GUGGGGAAUCUUCCGCAAUGGACGAAAGUCUGACGGAGCGACGCCGCGUGAGUGAAGAAGGCCUUCGGGUCGUAAAGCUCUGUCAUCAGGGACGAACGGCCGGUGGAGUGGAAAGCCACCGGAUUGACGGUACCUGAGAAGGAAGCCACGGCUGACUACGUGCCAGCAGCCGCGGUAAUACGUAGGUGGCAAGCGUUGUCCGGAAUUAUUGGGCGUAAAGCGCGCGCAGGUGGGAUCUUAAGUCCAUUUUGAAAGUUCGGAGCUCAACUCCGUGAUGGGAUGGAAACUGGGAUUCUUGAGUACCGGAGAGGAAAGCGGAAUUCCCCGUGUAGCGGUGAAAUGCGUAGAUAUGGGGAGGAACACCAGUGGCGAAGGCGGCUUUCUGGACGGUGUCUGACACUGAGGCGCGAAAGCUAGGGGAGCGAACGGGAUUAGAUACCCGGGUAGUCC